GUGGGUAUUGCUCAGUGGCAGGGUGCAUGCUUAGCAUGCGUGAGGUUCUGGGUUCAAUCCCCAAUACCUCUG
rnacentral:tRNA from 1 species